GAUGAACGCUGGCGGCGUGCCUAAUACAUGCAAGUCGAGCGAACAGACGAGGAGCUUGCUCCUCUGACGUUAGCGGCGGACGGGUGAGUAACACGUGGAUAACCUACCUAUAAGACUGGGAUAACUUCGGGAAACCGGAGCCAAUACCGGAGAAUAUAUUGAACCGCAUGGUUCAAUAGUGAAAGACGGUUUUGCUGUCACUUAUAGAUGGAUCCGCGCCGCAUUAGCUAGUUGGUAAGGUAACGGCUUACCAAGGCAACGAUGCGUAGCCGACCUGAGAGGGUGAUCAGCCACACUGGAACUGAGACACGGUCCAGACUCCUACGGGAGGCAGCAGUAGGGAAUCUUCCGCAAUGGGCGAAAGCCUGACGGAGCAACGCCGCGUGAGUGAUGAAGGUCUUCGGAUCGUAAAACUCUGUUAUUAGGGAAGAACAAAUGUGUAAGUAACUAUGCACGUCUUGACGGUACCUAAUCAGAAAGCCACGGCUAACUACGUG
rnacentral:rRNA from 1 species